GUGAAGCACAAAAUGUAUCAUUUACUGAAAUUUCAUUGAACAAUGAAGAUGGAUGUUCGAUACACUUUCCUGUUAUAUCUGAUUGUACAGAUGCGAAUAUGUGCAUAACUGCGAAACCACUUGGAACAAAUGCAAAAAAGAUUAUUCGCGAUAGCAAUAAAAAAAAUGCAGUAAAACCUGUAAACAUUACAAGUAACAUGCAAAAAAAUAUAACUCAGUAUUCUAAGGAUGAUACAAUUAAGGAAAAUAUUCGUUAUAUUGAUGAACCUGGAAUGAUAUUGCAUUCAAACGACAAGUCUUACGUCAAUUAAAUAUUAUUAAUUUAAAACAAUCGCAAAUAUGUGAAGAUAUCCAAAUUUUAAG